rnacentral:rRNA from 1 species
UACAGAGGUCUCAAGCGUUGUUCGGAUUCAUUGGGCGUAAAGGGUGCGUAGGUGGCGCGCUAAGUCGGGUGUGAAAUUUCGGAGCUUAACUCCGAAACUGCAUUCGAUACUGGCGUGCUUGAGGACUGGAGAGGAGACUGGAAUUCAUGGUGUAGCAGUGAAAUGCGUAGAGAUCAUGAGGAAGACCAGUGGCGAAGGCGGGUCUCUGGACAGUUCCUGACACUGAGGCACGAAGGCCAGGGGAGCAAACGGG